UACGGAGGGAGCUAGCGUUGUUCGGAAAUACUGGGCAUAAAGCGCACGUAGGCGGCGCGGUAAGUCAGGGGUGAAAUCCCGGGGCUCAACCCCGGAACUGCCCUUGAAACUGCAGUGCUAGAAUCUUGGAGAGGUCAGUGGAAUUCCGAGUGUAGAGGUGAAAUUCGUAGAUAUUCGGAAGAGCACCAGUGGCGAAGGCGACUGACUGGACAAGUAUUGACGCUGAGGUGCGAAAGCGUGGGGAGCAAACAGG
rnacentral:rRNA from 1 species